rnacentral:rRNA from 1 species
CAGUAGCCACGGGAAUACGAAGGGUGCAAGCGUUAAUCGGAAUUACUGGGCGUAAAGCGUGCGUAGGCGGAUAUUUAAGUCAGGGGUGAAAUCCCAGAGCUCAACUCUGGAACUGCCUUUGAUACUGGGUAUCUAGAGUAUGGAAGAGGUGAGUGGAAUUCCGAGUGUAGAGGUGAAAUUCGUAGAUAUUCGGAGGAACACCAGUGGCGAAGGCGGCUCACUGGUCCAUUACUGACGCUGAGGUGCGAAAGCGUGGGGAGCAAACAGGAUUAGAUACCCCUGUAGUCCCUGUCUCUUAUAC